rnacentral:rRNA from 1 species
GCCCUGGAACGGGNCGUCAUAGAGGGUGAGAAUCCCGUCUGGNAUGGGGUGUCCACGCCCGUNGAAGCUCCUUCGACGAGUCGAGUUGUUUGGGAAUGCAGCUCUAAAUGGGUGGUAAAUUUCAUCUAAAGCUAAAUACUGGCCGGAGACCGAUAGCGCACAAGUAGAGUGAUCGAAAGAUGAAAAGCACUUUGAAAAGAGAGAUAAACAGCACGUGAAAUUGUUGAAAGGGAAGCGCUUGCGACCAGACUCGCCCACGGGGUUCAGCCGGCAUUCGUGCCGGUGUACUUCCCCGUGGGCGGG